rnacentral:rRNA from 1 species
CCUACGGGGGGCUGCAGUGAGGAAUAUUGGUCAAUGGACGAGAGUCUGAACCAGCCAAGUAGCGUGAAGGAUGACUGCCCUAUGGGUUGUAAACUUCUUUUAUAUGGGAAUAAAAUGUUCCACGUGUGGGCUUUUGUAUGUACCAUAUGAAAAAGGAUCGGCUAACUCCGUGCCAGCAGCCGCGGUAAGACGGAGGAUCCGAGCGUUAUCCGGAUUUAUUGGGUUUAAAGGGAGCGUAGGUGGAUUGUUAAGUCAGUUGUGAAAGUUUGCGGCUCAACCGUAAAAGUGCAGUUGAAACUGGCAGUCUUGAGUACAGUAGAGGUGGGCGGAAUUCGUGGUGUAGCGGUGAAAUGCUUAGAUAUCACGAAGAACUCCGAUUGCGAAGGCAGCUCACUGGACUGCAACUGACACUGAGGCUCGAAAGUGUGGGUAUCAAACAGGAUUAGAUACCCCAGUAGUC